GGUGCUAUAGUGUAGUGGUUAUCACUCGGGAUUUUGAUUCCCGUAACCCAGGUUCGAACCCUGGUAGCACCU
rnacentral:tRNA from 1 species